rnacentral:rRNA from 1 species
GACGAACGCUGGCGGCGUGCUUAACACAUGCAAGUCGAACGGAAAGGCCCUGCUUUUGUGGGGUUCUCGAUUGGCGAACGGGUGAGUAACACGUGAGUAACCUGCCCUUGACUUUGGGAUAACUUCAGGAAACUGGGGCUAUACCGGAUAGUAGCUCCUUCUGCAUGGUGGGGGUUGGAAAGUUUCGGCGGUUGGGGAUGGACUCGCGGCUUAUCAGCUUGUUUGUGGGGUAGUGGCUUACCAAGGCUUUGACGGGUAGCCGGCCUGAGAGGGUGACCGGCCACAUUGGGACUGAGAUACGGCCCAGACUCGUACGGGAGGCAGAAGUGGGGAAUAUUGCACAAUGGGCGGAAGCCUGAUGCAGAAACGCCGCGUGCGGGAUGACGGCCUUCGGGUUGUAAACCGCUUUCGCCUGUGGCGAAGCGUGAGUGACGGUAAUGGGUAAAGAAGCACCGGCUAACUACGUG